AUUGAACGCUGGCGGCAGGCCUAACACAUGCAAGUCGAGCGAGCGGCGGACGGGUGAGUAGUGUCUGGGAAACUGCCUGCUGGAGGGGGAUAACUCCUGGAAACGGUAGCUAAUCCCGCAUACCAUCACAUGUGCCCAGAUGGGAUUAGCUAGUAGGUGGGGUAACGGCUCAACUAGGAUACGAUCCCUAGCUGGUCUGAGAGGAUGACCAGCCACACUGGAACGGAGACAGGGUCCAGAGUCCUACGGGAGGAAGCAGUUGGGAAUAGUGUACAAUGGGCGAAAGCCUGAUGCAGCCAGGCAGCGGAUGGGAAGAAGGGCGUCGGGUUGUAAAGGCCUUGCAGAGGGGAGGCGUUACCCGCAGACGAAGCAUCGGCGAACAGCGAACCAGCAGCCGCGGUAAUAC
rnacentral:rRNA from 1 species